CUGGAGAAUCCCAGGGACAGGGGACCCUGGUGGGCUGCUGUCUAUGGGGUCGCACAGAGUCGGACACAACUGAAGCGACUUAGCAGCAGCAGCAGCAGCAAGCAGAAAUCUUCUCUCCCUAAGAAAGGUGGAUAUUAACUGAGCUCCAGAAAGGCAUUCAGGAUCUUCAUUCUCCAACCAGGGAUUGAACCCAUACCCUGCUGCAAUGGAAGUGCUGUGUCUUAACCACUGGACCACUAGCAAAGUCCCAAUAAAUUCUUGUUAACA